UCUAUUCAUGUUCAUCUUUUACCCUUUUUCACCACAAAUGUCUCUAAACACCUCCAAGAAAUCCAUAGCACACUCCAGCCCCUAAUAAAGACCCAUGUAUGCAAAAUGGACCCUAAAGAUGCCUAAUUCCUAAUCUACAUGAUAAUUAUGUACAAGAAAUGAUGGUUAAAACCUUGUAAAUAUGCAAGAUAACAACCCCCCCCACACUAGUCAUUUACUUGUCCUCAAGUAAACUUUUCAAAAACUCAAGAAGGAGAGAUAUAAAGAUGGGAGCUUAUAACCAAAAGAGACACUUACAGCACUCAACUUGACAUCCUAAGGAAACAUAGCAAAUAGCAUGAGCACACUCUCUUAUUAUACUCUAGCUUCUCAAGGCCUAUCAAUACUCUUAUGCCUCUACACAAGAUGCAAUGCUUAUCAACCAACAAGUCUUUUUUUACCAGCCCUCACAUUGAUUCACACACACACACACAAAGUGAAUUCUCACAAAUGGGCACAUGAUCUCAAUCAUUUGGCUAAGUAAGUAAAUGGUCUAAUGUGAAUGAAGAGGAGGGUUCAAAUGCAUCAUUUCAAGGUGGUUAUCACUCAAGAACAAGGAGUUUGAUCAUUAUGAAAAAUUUAUUUAGGAUUAGAAGAAAUUCAUGCAUACAUAGAUCCAUUCUCAUCAUUCUACCCCAUUCCUAAGUGAUUACAAAUUCUACACCCUUUUCAUUCAUCCCAUAACCCAAAAUGAAAAACACUCACAUCACUCACCCAAUGAACAACAUUCUUUUCUUAAGACUCAACCACUAAGGACCUCUUAUUCACUUUUCAUAUUUCUAAGCUCUAACACUUUUUAUUAUCCAUUCCCCACUUUCUUAUUGAAUCUUUCUUUUUUUCUUUUUUUCUUUUUUCUUUUCUUUUUCUUCUUUUUUUUUAUAGAGGGGGAAUGUGUCAAACAAUACAAUCAAGAGCUUUCUUAUCUUUCUAUUCUAGGUCCCUAGGGCUUUUCUUUCUCAUGACAAUCUUUUGUUCAUUAAUCUCAACUUUAUCACUUCCCAAACCCCAAGAUAUAAACCUUUA
rnacentral:lncRNA from 1 species